rnacentral:rRNA from 1 species
CCGGCACGGGUGAGUAACACGUAUCCAACCUGCCGUCUACUCUUGGACAGCCUUCCUGAAAGGAAGAUUAAUACAAGAUGGCAUCAUGAAUCUACAUGUUCACAUGAUUAAAGGUAUUCCGGUAGACGAUGGGGAUGCGUUCCAUUAGAUAGUAGGCGGGGUAACGGCCCACCUAGUCUUCGAUGGAUAGGGGUUCUGAGAGGAAGGUCCCCCACAUUGGAACUGAGACACGGUCCAA